UGGUCACGGCGGCAGAGGCAGGGGCCAGCGCUCUGCAGUACCUGGACUCGAGGAUGUCGCCGCUGCCGGGCUCGCGGCCGCUGCAGGUGUCUCCGGUCCCUGAGAUUAGCACCGCCUCCUCCCGGGCUGGCGGCUCCGGCCCAGGCCGCGCACCUGCUGCUGCGGCUCCCCCGCCGCCGCGCCGGAGCUCCGCGAUGUGCCCGCGCCUCCCGGGCAGAGGGUCCGUGCCGCGGGACGCACGGGGCCUGCCUCAACUUCAUUCUGGAAGAAUUGCCUAACGGACAAAUAGGUGGCAGGAAGCACUGAGAGGACAGUUAAGCUUAUCAUCAGGACUGCCCUUACCUAUAAAGCUGAAAACCCCCAAGCCUUGAAGGAAAAUGUUAAACACCAGCUGCCAGUCUUUUGGUUGUACAACAAGAAGGCCUGGACAACGAGAACUCUUUCUGGAUCAGUUCCAUUGAUGUUUUGUCCCUGAAGUCGGGAAGUACCUUGCCACUAAAGGUCUGCCUUUCAAGGUUCUUUUGAUAUUGAAGGAUGCCCCUCGGUUAUCUAGAACCCCAUGAGUUCAACACUGAAGGCAUCAAAGUGGUCUACUUGCCCCCAAACACAUCUCUAAUCCAGCCUCUAGAUAAGGGGGUCAUAAGGACCUUUAAUGCCCAUUAUAUAUGGUACUCUUUGGAAAAGAUUGUCAAUGCUAUGAAAGAGAACCCUGAUAGAACAUCAAGAAAGUCUGGAAGGAUUACACUGUUGAAGAUGCCACAUUGUUACAGGAAAAGCUAUUAAAGUCAUCAAUCUCAAAACAACAAGUUUCUGCUGGAGAAAACUGUGUUCAGAUGUUGUGCAUAACUUCACAGGAUUUACAGCAGAGUCAAUCAAGAAAAUCAUGAAAGAGAUUGAGCAUAUGGCAAAAA
rnacentral:lncRNA from 10 species